UUCUUGGCCAGCUGCCCAGGGCACCUGGCUUGGUAGGAGGCUGGAGAGGCACUAGAGCCCGCUGAGGAUGUCCGGCCCUCGCACUCUCUGGCUGCCCUGGGUGCACCCACCUGCCAAAUGCAGACUUCUCAGCACCCCUCAAGCCUGCCUGAUUCCCCUGCUGGGAAGAGCACGCCAGCACUCCUGACCUGGAGCUGUCCUUCUCAGCACGUGGUCUCAGAGAGCGGGCGGUGGGUGAGACCAUGCGGGGGUCGUUGGGUAUAAAAUGGAUUGAUCUUGAGCUGUGGUUCAUCUCCGUGAGCACCAGAGCGUGGAGCUAAAAGAUGGCUUCAUCUACGGAGGACAAAAUUUACUUUCAAUAUCUCACUUUAUGGGGGAUAUGAACUGUGAGUUUAGGAGCCAAGUCCAGCAUGCUAAAAAUCUUCCAAGCUGUUUCAUUUUCUUAUCUCCAAGGAACCGGUGAGAAUAUGUGGUCCCAUACUUUUGCUUUCCUUUCCUACCUUCUCAUCCUGGCCUGGGCCUCCACCACCACAUUUGACAGAAAUGAAAAUAGCAGACUCUUGUCUCAUUCCUGACAUCAGGGGAAAACUUUUGACAUUUUAUCAGGAAGUGUGUUGGCUGUAGGCUUUAGGCUUUUUGAUGAUAUCUGUAUCAUAUUAAGAAAGUUACUUUCUCAGACUUCUUUUACUUUUACAGCCUGGGCAACAGAGCAAGA
rnacentral:lncRNA from 1 species